CCUACGGGAGGCUGCAGUGGGGAAUAUUGCACAAUGGGGGAAACCCUGAUGCAGCGACGCCGCGUGAGUGAAGAAGUAAUUCGUUACGUAAAGCUCUAUCAGCAGGGAAGAAACACUGACCUUACGGUCAGCAGACGGUACCUGAGUAAGAAGCCCCGGCUAACUACGUGCCAGCAGCCGCGGUAAUACGUAGGGGGCAAGCGUUAUCCGGAUGUACUGGGGGGAAAGGGAGCGUAGACGGGUCGCCAAGUCUGGCGUGAAAUGCCGCAGCUUAACUGCGGAACUGCAUUGGAAACUGGCGAACGAGAGUGCGGGAAGGGUAAGCGGAAUUCCUGGUGUAGCGGUGAAAUGCGUAGAUAUUAGGAGGAACACCGGUGGCGAAGGCGGCUUACUGGACCGUAACUGACGUUGAGGCUCGAAAGCGUGGGGAGCAAACAGGAUUAGAUACCCGUGUAGUC
rnacentral:rRNA from 1 species